CUUCGCGGGAAUCGUCGUAUAAGUGGUUUGGUUGAGUUAAUAACUUCAUCUAACUAUAAAACGUAAGAUUAAAAUUCCAAAGGACCUGGAAAACUCGAAAGGGAAAAUCACUCAAGAUCAUUAAACGGCGAAGAAAUCCGACAAAUAGAUUCAAAUCACUGAACAAAAUCAGCUUAAUUCAUUGUUCUCUCAGUAAGUGAACGGAGAAAAUUUGAGCAGCAAGACUGAAUAAGCGAGCCAGGUGAACUACUGAUUACAAUGAAACCUUCUUUUCUAUGAUUUACAAACUUGCACUCGAAACCAUCGUAAUGAUACUCCCCGACACAAAAUCUGUAGAACUUCUAUUAUUAUAAACAUAUUGCCAUACUUCCCCGACGAUCUAAUAUUCCUAUCAGUAAAAACAGUGUACAUUCCUUUGUUUGAGUGCUUUUGUUUGAAAAUCCUGCAAGAAAAUUUUAUUAACUAUACAUUUACAAAAUGA